UUAGGCCUCAACCAAGUCCAUUUUUUCUUUCAUUUAUUCUUCUUAAUGAAAAGAAAAAAAACACCUUCCUUAACCCUUGUUUCUUCCCUCUCGACCGCCGCCACUCACUCUUUGCUCCAUCGCCUGAUUUCUGCUUCGCCGGCGUUGCCAUCGUGUCUACUUACAACAGAUUCCAUCAACAACCUCCAAGGUAUUUCAGGGAUGACGAUUUUUCAGUGUUCUUUCUGACAAGGUAUUUCAGGCAGCCAGCAUAGCCUCCAAGCUUGCUCACGGAAUGUUCAGCGACUUGGGAUCAAACCAAUCCUGUAGUGGUCUUUCGGACUAGGGCAACAAGCGAUCCUGUACACGAAAAGCAAAUUUGUCACUAUUGGGAUCAGUGGAUCGUUUGUGUGUGUGAGACCAAAUCAUUGAGACGAUUCGAAGUCUAAAGACAUAAUGAGUUCAAUCCGCCCUUAUGAACUCAAGAGUAAUACUCUUGAGGACUGCUUGACUUUGUUUAAAAAAUGAGUUUUAAUGAGGCAAUGAGAGACAACAUCCUAAUCUUAUGAGAAUCGGAAAGGAAUUGUACAAAAGUGCAAAUUUUUCUUUUGUCAGUGAGAAUAUUGGAAAGCAUAUUGUUUCAAAAAACUGAUAAAUCUGAUUGUCUUUCUAUAAGAGAUAGUGCAAUAUGGAGGCUUGAGCAAAGUGAAAAUGAUAUUUUACUAUGUUUCAAGUCUCCAUAUUUCACUAUCUCUUAUCCCUUAUGAAGACACGUUCAGAUUCAUCAAUUUUCUAAAGCAGUAGGCUUCUCAAUGUUCUUACUGCCAAAGGAAUACUUAUAUACUUCUGUACAAUUUCUUCCCCGAUUCUCAUGAGAUUCAGAUGCCGUCUCUCAUUACCAUCAUUAAAAGCCCAUUUUUUAAAAGCAGUCUUCAAGGAGACCUUGCAGUUCAUAAGGGUGAAUUGAACUUAUUAUGGAGGCAACCUUCAAAACUUCGAGUGAUCACAAUGAUUUUGCUCUCACACAAUCAGUCCAUUUAUCCCAAUAGUGAUAGAAACUUGCAAUUUUAAUGAUUUCUAAGAGCUUGAAGAUGGCCAAUGAUACCAGGGACUGAAAACGUGCAGAAAAAAAUAAGCAAUGGAGCUGAAAAUAUGCAAUAGGAACCUCCUUUGGUACACAAUAAGCCAAUGGUAGCUUCUUGAAACCACACCAUUUUGCUGUAUUAAUAUGCAAUAGAACUGAAAUUUUGCAAAUAAGUACUUGAGCCACUAUUUUUUACCAGUUUGGUUAUAUAAGAAAAUUUUUGGAUCUUCUA